rnacentral:rRNA from 2 species
GGGUUGUGAGGUUAAGCGACUAAGCGUACACGGUGGAUGCCCUGGCAGUCAGAGGCGAUGAAGGGCGUACUAAUCUGCGAUAAGCGCCGGUAAGGUGAUAUGAACCGUUAUAACCGGCGAUACCCGAAUGGGGAAACCCAGUGUGAUUCGUCACACUAUCAUUAACUGAAUCCAUAGGUUAAUGAGGCGAACCGGGGGAACUGAAACAUCUAAGUACCCCGAGGAAAAGAAAUCAACCGAGAUUCCCCCAGUAGCGGCGAGCGAACGGGGAGGAGCCCAGAGCCUGAAUCAGCAUGUGUGUUAGUGGAAGCGUCUGGAAAGGCGCGCGAUACAGGGUGACAGCCCCGUACACAAAAGCGCAUGUGCUGUGAGCUCGAUGAGUAGGGCGGGACACGUGGUAUCCUGUCUGAAUAUGGGGGGACCAUCCUCCAAGGCUAAAUACUCCUGACUGACCGAUAGUGAACCAGUACCGUGAGGGAAAGGCGAAAAGAACCCCGGCGAGGGGAGUGAAAAAGAACCUGAAACCGUGUACGUACAAGCAGUGGGAGCACAGGUUUACCUGUGUGACUGCGUACCUUUUGUAUAAUGGGUCAGCGACUUAUAUUCUGUAGCAAGGUUAACCGAAUAGGGGAGCCGGAGGGAAACCGAGUCUUAAUUGGGCGUUAAGUUGCAGGGUAUAGACCCGAAACCCGGUGAUCUAGCCAUGGGCAGGUUGAAGGUUGGGUAACACUAACUGGAGGACCGAACCGACUAAUGUUGAAAAAUUAGCGGAUGACCUGUGGCUGGGGGUGAAAGGCCAAUCAAACCGGGAGAUAGCUGGUUCUCCCCGAAAGCUAUUUAGGUAGCGCCUCGUGAAUUCAUCUCCGGGGGUAGAGCACUGUUUCGGCUAGGGGGCCAUCCCGGCUUACCAACCCGAUGCAAACUGCGAAUACCGGAGAAUGUUAUCACGGGAGACACACGGCGGGUGCUAACGUCCGUCGUGAAGAGGGAAACAACCCAGACCGCCAGCUAAGGUCCCAAAGUCAUGGUUAAGUGGGAAACGAUGUGGGAAGGCCCAGACAGCCAGGAUGUUGGCUUAGAAGCAGCCAUCAUUUAAAGAAAGCGUAAUAGCUCACUGGUCGAGUCGGCCUGCGCGGAAGAUGUAACGGGGCUAAACCAUGCACCGAAGCUGCGGCAGCGACACUGUGUGUUGUUGGGUA